UGCGUAGGCGGCCUAUUAAGUCAGUGGUGAAAGGUAUCAGCUUAACUUAUGACGUGCCAUUGAAACUGAUAGGCUUGAGUACAGACGAGGUAGGCGGAAUUUAUGGUGUAGCGGUGAAAUGCAUAGAUACCAUAAAGAACACCAAUUGCGAAGGCAGCUUACUAGACUGAGACUGACGCUGAGGCACAAAAGCGUGGGGAGCGAACAGGAUUAGAUACCCUGGUAGUC
rnacentral:rRNA from 1 species